CCUACGGGAGGCAGCAGUGAGGAAUAUUGGUCAAUGAACGCUAGCCUGAACCAGCCAAGUAGCGUGAAGGAUGACUGCCCUAUGGGUUGUAAACUUCUUUUAUAUGGGAAUAAAAUGACGUACGUGUACUUCUUUGCAUGUACUUUAUGAAUAAGGAUCGGCUAACUACGUGCCAGCAGCCGCGGUACUACGGAGGAUCCGAGCGUUAUCCGGAUUUAUUUGGUUUAAAGGGAGCGUAGACGGGUUGUUAAGUCAGUUGUGAAAGUUUGCGGCUCAACCGUAAAAUUGCAAUUGAUACUGGCAGUCUUGAGUACAGUAGAGGUAGGCGGAAUUCGUGGUGUAGCGGUGAAAUGCUUAGAUAUCACGAAGAACCCCGAUUGCGAAGGCAGCUUGCUAAACUGUAACUGACGCUGAUGCUCGAAAGUGUGGGUAUCAAACAGGAUUAGAUACCCUUGUAGUC
rnacentral:rRNA from 1 species